rnacentral:tRNA from 1 species
GUAUUUUAAGAUUAGUUCUCCUUAGUGUCUUCAGCACUAUACUCUAUAUAAGCUAUUAAAAUA